UACGGGGGGUGCGAGCGUUGUCCGGAAUCACUGGGCGUAAAGGGCGCGUAGGUGGCCUGAUAAGGGUGUGGUGAAAGUCCGGGGCUCAACCCCGGAUCUGCCGUGCCGACUGUUAGGCUAGAGUACUGUAGGGGCAGGCGGAAUUCCGGGUGUAGCGGUGGAAUGCGUAGAGAUCCGGAGGAACACCGGUGGCGAAGGCGGCAUCCUGGACCAACACUGACGCUGAGGAGCGAAAGCCAGGGGAGCAAACGGG
rnacentral:rRNA from 1 species